rnacentral:tRNA from 1 species
GCGCCUGUAGCUCAGCGGAUAGAGCGGAUGCCUUCUAAGCAUUAGGUCGGGGGUUCGACUCCCUCCAGGCGCACCA